CCUGGAGCAGGUGCAGCGUGACCGGCAUGGCCUUCAGCUCCCGCAGCAGGUCCACGGCCCCCUCCUAGAACGGGCAGGGGUGCCUUCUUGGUCACCACCUUGUCC